CCUACGGGCGGCUGCAGUGGGGAAUUUUGGACAAUGGGGGCAACCCUGAUCCAGCCAUGCCGCGUGCGGGAAGAAGGCCUUCGGGUUGUAAACCGCUUUUGUCAGGGAAGAAAUCUUCCGAGCUAAUACCUUGGGAGGAUGACGGUACCUGAAGAAUAAGCACCGGCUAACUACGUGCCAGCAGCCGCGGUAAUACGUAGCGUGCAAACGGUCAUCGGAGUUACUGGGCGUGAUUGUGCAAGACACGUGUGAAAUCCCCGGGCUUAACCUGGGAACGGCGCUUGUGACUGUACGGCUGGAGUACGGCAGAGGGGGAUGGAAUUCCGCGUGUAGCAGUGAAAUGCGUAGAUAUGCGGAGGAACACCGAUGGCGAAGGCAGUCCCCUGGGCCUGUACUGACGCUCAUGCACGAAAGCGUGGGGAGCAAACAGGAUUAGAUACCCCAGUAGUC
rnacentral:rRNA from 1 species